rnacentral:lncRNA from 1 species
AUACCUAAUUCUAAAGGUCGCACUAAUUAGCCUAAACAUUAAUUCUAAUAUUGGGACAAGAAUAAUCUACUGAAUUGAAAUAUAAAAUGGUUUUACCUGAGAUACUGCAUGGCUCUGCCCGGGCCAGACAGGCAUCGACACGUUAUGGACAGGUCCUAGACCUGCUGCGAAGCAAUCUGCGUCUCUGCAGUUUCUUCGAAGUGCAUACUCACAAUGCAAUAUGGAGAUCUGGAACUUCUUUCACCCGGAUCUUCACCUUUCCUGUCCUACUAUCUGAGCCCAGAGCCUGUUGCACUUCGAUGGCAUACUAUACGUAUCGGUGCAACUAAUUUAACUGGCACGUGCAAUACUGCUGAGAACGAUUCCGUAGCUACUCAAACCGGAUUUCUGUUCACCACAUUUGAGCAGAAUUGAUAAAAGUUUUUACUACCUACAAUAAAGUCUCCUCGUCUGGCUGGUCACCAACCACAAGCGUAAAGUGAAAAAUUUCGAGCACUAUUUUUUGUGGGAGUAUCGAAGGAGCAUUGUAUCGACUUCCCAUCGUACUACAUCUUCUACAUUCAACCUACUACACAGCUAU